AACCAAGGACCGGUUGGAGUAGUUUCCUCCCUGAAGGCAUCUGAAAAGAAACAUGUUUGUUUCCACAGCACAUUCAUGAAUGCUUCAGAGGACAUCUUGACCUUUUCCUCAUUUUGCACUGACAGUAGAGAAUGAAGGUUCCACCCACUGAGACCAAGCCUCCUCCACCCGUGGGUGCUUCUCCACAUGCUACGAUGGCUACCUGUCCCCUUGUCCAGAGACAUGGAUGAAGCUUUCAGCUUACAGUUCUGUCCUUGAUAAAAGUCAAAGCACCACCACAGUCAGCCAUGCAUCCAGGGGUCCCUUGCAUGGCACAGCUCCUGUCUCAGUCAUUUGAUUGGCCUCAUAAUUCUAUGAGUGGGUCAGAAGAUCAUGU
rnacentral:lncRNA from 1 species